CCUACGGGUGGCAGCAGUGGGGAAUAUUGCACAAUGGGGGAAACCCUGAUGCAGCGACGCCGCGCGAAGGAAGAAGGAUUUCGGUAUGUAAACUUCUAUCAGCAGGGAAGAAGAUGACCGUAACCUGCAGAGAAGCCCCCGCCAACUACGUGCCAGCAGCCGCGGGAAUACGUAGGGGGCAAGCGUUAUUCGGAUUUACCGGGGGUAAAGGGAGCGUAGGCGGUUUAGCAAGUCAGAAGUGAAAGUCUGAGGCUUAACCCGGAGAAUGCCUUUGAAACUGUUGAACUAGAUUGCAGGAGAGGUAAGUGGAAUUCCUAGUGUAGCGGUGAAAUGCGUAGAGAUUAGGAGGAACACCAGUGGCGAAGGCGGCUUACUGGACUGUAAAUGACGCUGAGGCUCGAGAGCGUGGGGAGCAAACAGGAUUAGAUACCCUUGUAGUC
rnacentral:rRNA from 1 species